rnacentral:piRNA from 1 species
UGGGCAUAACAGUCGAUGAAAGCGGGUGG